UGGGGAAUAUUGCACAAUGGGCGCAAGCCUGAUGCAGCCAUGCCGCGUGUGUGAAGAAGGCCUUCGGGUUGUAAAGCCCUUUCAGCGGGGAGGAAGGCGUUAAGGUUAAUAACCUUGGCGAUUGACGUUACCGACAGAAGAAGCACCGGCUAACUCCGUGCCAGCAGCCGCGGUAAUACAGAGGGUGCAAGCGUUAAUCGGAAUUACUGGGCGUAAAGCGCACGCAGGCGGUUGAUUGAGUCAGAUGUGAAAUCCCCGGGCUUAACCCGGGAAUUGCAUCUGAUACUGGUCAGCUAGAGGGUUGUAGAGGGGGGUAGAAUUCCAUGUGGAGCGGUGAAAUGCGGAGAGAUGUGGAGGAAUACCGGUGGCGAAGGCGGCCCCCUGGACAAAGACUGACGCUCAGGUGCGAAAGCGUGGGGAGCAAACAGG
rnacentral:rRNA from 1 species